UACACAAAGAAAGCAGUGUUAAAGCAUUAGGCAAACAGAGAAGUGGCUGUCUGGUAGCAACCACAUAAUUUUCUCACUUGAUCAGUACUGGCACUCAGAGAGCUGAGGUUGGAGCACUUACACUAGCCCUGGAAACUUUCCACCUAGCCCAUCAAUAGAGUCAGUGACUCUGCUUACUCUAUUUUUUUUUUUAACUCUGUAUUUUUAUUAUAGAACCCUGAGACAGCUCUGAUAAAGAACUCAGUUGAGCCCACCCUAGUUGCACUAUUUCUUUAGCUUCAGUAAUGCUGGAUCAAUGCAAACAUCCUAUGUUUAUCUCAUACAUAUUCAAGUUCACAGCUCCCUGCCUGGCCCAUUAGCUUAUGGCAAUGAACAAGCAGAUCUUUAAGUUAUGACAUCACUGCUUGCCCAAGCCACCCAGUUGCAUCAAUUUUUCCACCAAAAUUGGAGGAACUUAGCUACACAAUUUCAACUUACCCAAAAGCUAGCUAAAAAAAUUAUCCUGCAAUGCCCACAUUGCCAGCUCAUGGGCACUUCCCCUCCAACAGGUGUUAACCCUAGAGGGUAUCAGUUACGGCAAACAGAUGUUACACAAGUCCCUGCAUUUGGUAAACUAAGAUACGUAUGUGUCUCUGUUGAUAACAAUUCUUACCUAAUUAGUGCACACACUUUUCCUUAAGAAUCCACUCGAUAUGUUGUUAAACAUAUUCUUUUAACUUUUGCAUGUAUAGGGUGGCCCACAAAAAUUAAAGCUGAUAAUGAUCUAGCUUAUGCCAGCUCACAAUUUCAACAAUUUUGUCAUACAUGGAACAUCUAACAUUCCACAGGCAUCUCAUAUAACCCCAAAGGACAGGCCAUAGUAGAACGUGCCGACUCCAUCCUUAAAAAUAUGCUCAAAAACAAAAGGGGGUUUAUGGGUAAGGACCCUGCAAUACUACCAGUACAAGCCUUAUUUACCCUUAGUUUCUUAAAUUUAGACGAUGGAUCAAUCAGCUAUGGAAAAGCACUUCGCUAAAACCUCCCAAAACCUAAAACCUGCAGUUUUAUGGAAAGGUGUAAAAGUAAUGAAUGAUGUGGUCCAAAUGAACUGCUAACAUGGGGGAGAGGAUAUGCCUGUGUUCACACCCCCUCAGGUUCUCACUGGAUUCCAGCACGAUACAUCAAACCAUACCAUGGUGUGGUCAGGACCCAACCCGAUACCAGAGAUUCAGAUGACGACUCUGCAGGACCCACAACCCUAGAAGAUGGCGGCUUCCUCCAACCACACAUGCCCCAGACAUUACCUGGGGGAUACUGAAAAGGACAAUACGGGAGGCUGAGUGAAUCCUGCUCCAGACAGAUACCAUUCACUCCAGAUAAUUUGUUCCUUGCUAUGCUCUGUUGUACAUUGCAACUCACAUAGGAAUGCAAAGCUGGAAUAAGAGCAAUGUCCUUGACUGACAGACCUGUUGCUGCACACGUGGGCACUCUUCAGUUAUUAAAGCCAGAUGCAAAAAAAAAAAAAAUCGACAAGGGGAAGAUGUGGGAGUUCAGGCAGGGUGGUAGCAAAAAUUUUAAAGGAAAAAUAUUAGAGAUAGUUAUAGGAAAUAGUCACAAAACCCUCUUGGAAGGCCUGGCUGUUUACGUAGCUUCAAAUGAGAGAAUGGGCAGGAGGCGGCCAGUUCUUACCCUAGGGCAUUAGGGCAUAGAGGCAAUACCAGGAAUUGUCAAGAGGCUUCUCCAUUAGGUUUGCUAAUGGAGGUGGGGGUCUAUUUACCUGGACCCUCACCUCCAUUAGAAAACCUUUGAUCAUCCUGGUAUGUGCAUAACUGCCUUCUACUCAGGGGCUUGGCAGAAGUUAAUGACCCUAUAAUGGUGUUUAUCCAAAGACCCUUGUCCUUUGAUCUACACAAAAUAAAAGCCCACAGGGCCAGUGGUGGUUACCCCAGCCCACUCUUUCACUGAAAA